rnacentral:lncRNA from 1 species
GGAAGGAACAUGUUACUUUGUUGGAAGUUGACAAUAGUUUGAGGUCAGCUAACUUUCUACUCUGUGUAUGCUCUGCCAUAUCUAAAUUUUUUCUCGAUGAAUUCUACUCUUAAAUGUUAAGAAUUAUUUUCUAUGGGCUAUAAAUCUACCUCUCAGAUCUCAGCAUAAAUCAGCUGACUUACUGUGUCAUUUACUUCACCCCUUUUUCAGUUCUCAAGGACUUGAGAAAAUGACACCAAAUCUCAAAUGAGAGGGGAUGUUCUUCAUAAAAGGACUGAGAUUAUUCAACACCUCCACUUCAGUGGUCAUUGAUCUGAUCCUUCUGCGUGGCUGAACUCUCCUCCCUGCACAGGACACGUACAUGUCUUUCAGUGCUGUCUCUCCUUCCAACCCACGCUUGCCAGUCCUUCUUUAAUCUCCUGCCUUCCAGCACCCUGCACACCCAGCGCUCCACACAUUCCACCAGGUCAGUACACAGCUCCCAGAGCUCCUUCAUCAUUGGAAGACCAGACUGUUGUUGCUAAGCAGAGUAUACAGGGCACAACUGUAGCCAACUGUUUAACUCAAGCUAAUUCAUGGUAUUUCUCAGUUUGCCUGGAUUAUCAGUGGGGGAAGCAAUCAUUUCCCAGUUUACUACAAAAGCUGAUGUACCUUGAGGACCUGUUAUGAAAAUGACAGUUAUGUUCUAUGACUUUAACUUUACUCAAACACCAAGGAGCAAACAUUUAUUCAGUUUAUAUUGUUGUCAGCGUAGUGAUUAGCUCUGUAGGAGAACA